AACGAACGCUGGCGGCGUGGAUAAGACAUGCAAGUCGAACGCUAAUACAAAGGUAGCAAUAUCGUUGUGUUGGAGUGGCGAAAGGGUGAUUAACACGUGGGCAAGUUACCGCGAGAUCUAGGAUAACCUGCUGAAAGGCAGGCUAAUACUGGAUAACACCUUGGAUCGGCAUCGAUUCAAGUUUAAAGUUGGGGCUCCGCAAGGACCUGACGACUCGCGAUACGCCCGCGUCCUAUCAGCUAGUUGGCGGGGUAAAAGCCCACCAAGGCUAAGACGGGUAGCUGGUCUAAGAGGACGACCAGCCACACUGGAACUGAGACACGGUCCAGACACCUACGGGUGGCAGCAGUCGAGUAAUUUUUCACAAGUGGGACGAAAGCCUGAUGGAGCGACGCCGCGGUGGGGGAUGAAUGGUCGUUCGGGGUACGUAAACGCCCUGUCGCGAGGGGAAGAA
rnacentral:rRNA from 1 species